GGAGACAAGGGGCCUGGGCAGUGGUAACCGGGGCCACAAACGGAAUCGGCAGGAGCUAUGCUCAUGAGCUGACCCGAAGAGGCCUCAAUGUUGCACUGGUGAGCUGAGAUCUCAGCAAGUUACGUCGGGAGGCAGAGGACAUUGAGAGACUCCAUGGUAAGGAAACAAGAGUCAUCCAGGUGGACUUCAGUGGAGGCUUAGAGAUCUAUGAGACAGUUGAGAGAGGCUUGGAGGGCCUAGACAUCGGCAUUCUAGUCAACAAUGUUGGAGUAGCUCCCAAGAUAAUCCCCCAGAAGCUAAUGGAUGUGAAGAAUCCAGGCAAGAGUUUCACAGAUGUGAUGAAUUGUAACAUGCUGUCAAUGGUUCAGGGGAUGAGGAGUCAUCAUCAACAUAUCCUCUGAGGCUGGCAGACAGCCUUCCCCAUUCUUGGCGUUAUGUGGGACUACUAAGGACUUGGAAGAAUGUCAUGUAGACAAGAACCACUCUUGUUCUCGUUGAACCCAGAGGGCAGAACCAGGAGCAAUGAGGUGCCCAGGGCAGAACAAGGGUCCUGUCAAUGAGAGCUGCCCCAGAGUGGAAGCUGCCUGGGGAGGUAGUGAGCAUCCCAUCCUGGGAGGUCUAACAGCAGAAGCUGGAGGAUGACAUCUCAUUGAGGAUGUAGGGAAGACUCCUCUUCAGACUCUUACUCCUCUGGUAGUUUCCUGCAACAUGAGCCAGAUGCCACCCAUAAAAUGCUUGGUGAAGUCUUCAGAUGACUUUGUCAGAGAAGCCUUGGAUACCGUAGGCGUCUCUAACUUCACCUGGGGGUGUCUCCUACACUCUGUCCACGGUUUGUUGCUAUGGCCCCUGAACUCCAACUUCAAAUUCAUCAUCCCGACUCUGAUGUUCUUCUACUCUCUGUUCAAUGCAUCCAGAAGAUCCUGAAGAAGUUGUGGGAAGGAGGGGGGCUCAAUUGGAGGCCCUUUGUCGGGGGAGGGGUGAUGACUGCUGCUGGUGGUGGGAAGAGGGGGGCAAACAGAGGGGUUUCCUCUGCUUGGCUCAUCCCUCUGUCCUGCUUUCUAGGGUCCCUUUGAGGAGAAACCCUAGCCCUGAGAAGCUGUAGCUGUAACUUGUUAUAAUAAAUUGUUUUCCCUUUA